GGGCUUGUAGCUCAGUUGGUUAGAGCACCGUGUUCACAUCGCGGGGGUCGGAGGUUCGAGCCCUCUCAAGCCCACCA
rnacentral:tRNA from 1 species